GGAUUGGUGUAAUAACUUCUGCAGUAAUACCAAAAUGAUCGAGUACGUAACGAUCGUCAAAGUGUUUUGUUUUAUCGUCUUGUGUUUCAUCGUUUCGUCGAUUGUACUACCGCGUUUGGUAUUCAAAUGUUCAUCGUGUUGAUAAUUUAUGAACCGUAAACCAUUUAAUAACAGCGUACCUAUGCCAACGAUGCCAACGUCGAAACAAACGGCACAUCGUACAAAAUCGAGUCACAGGAACACCGGUGGCAAAAAAAAAAAGUAUUUUAUAAAAAGUAAGGGAGAAUAUUUUCCGAUUAAUAUAUUUUUGGCGCCGAGGAUAAUGGACUCUUGAAUCGCCGUUUUUGUCAAGUGUUCGGGGCGAAAAAUCAUGGGAAAGGCGGCCGAAAAUUAUUCUUUUUUUCGUGUUACGUUUACAGACCAAUAGCCGGAAUAGAAUAAACAUAUUUCCAGUGGUCCAAUUUCUGUUUUUGAAAAUAAACGAUUUGACACCGCGUUCUCCUUUUCUAUGUUUUGUAGACAAAAUGUUUUCUCAUUUUCAUUUUUUUUCCUGUAAAACUUUAUAAGUAUGACAUUUUUUUUUUAAGAAAAAAAGGUAAACUUCAUGUUUACUUUUACGAAAUAAAAUAACGAGCAAAUGUUUCCUACAAAACAUAAACCAAUAAAUCAUAGAACUCAAAGCAAUAUGUUUUCGAAAAUAAAAUUGGACGAACUGUAGUUGGUAAAUAUUUUACUCCAGCUUAUUGGUCUUAAACAUCAUAAAAAUAGCCGUACUUCUUAAAUAAGUAUUGAGCACGCGGUUAGUGAAAAAGUCUUGUCACUUAGGUUUUACAAAAUUGAAGAAAAUUAGGAAAACCGUUUCCAAUCUCCUCGAUCGUUGUCUAAACCAAUCUUCGAUCAGUAGUCGUUUUUGGCUACGUACGGUUUGAUUCAAACUUAAUACACGCCCUUUAUAUUAUCAUUACUAUCACGUUUUUAAUUCCAACCCAAGACAUUAUAAUAUGAUUUCCGUAUUGAAAAAUGAGCAGACUAAUUCCGUCGCUGGAUUCAAAUUUUCUCCCAGCCUACAGCCUCCCAGCCUUUGUCGGCGCAACAAUUUAUUAACACUAUUUUUUUUUUUUUUUUUUUUUUUAUAACCGAUCCAAAAUAGUUAUGGUCGCCAGUUUUAUUAUAUGUUAGUCUGUGGGGACAUUUCCUGCGAAAACAUGAAAUUUUUACACAAAAACGGUUGGAGAAGGUGUUAAAAUUUGAAACCACGUCCCUAAAAGUGAUACGCACAGCGAUUACUCGACACCGUUUCAUAUCCGCGGUUCUGUUAUUCACGAAUGGUCGGUCCGGACGGAACCGCGCUCGAAAAGUAACGGCGCAAGAGUGGCGGAGCAACGGUCUCCGGAUUUUCGCGGGGAAAUCCGACCGGGGGGAGGGGGGAAAAACGAAAAUCGGCCUCUUUUCCCGGAAACGCGCGCGAGGCCUUUUUUUUUUUCGUAUCCGGCGCCAAAUGUACACUGUUCGCGCGUUUAAACGUCAUUCGGCCGGUGACGUCGACACGCCUACGCCGCGUACCGCGCCAAACACGAUUUGCCCGCCACGCCGGACACGCCGCGAUACCGACAGACGAACGCUUAUCGCCGCCGCCGCCGCGUGUUCGUUACGGGUCCGUUGUGACGCGUCGCCGCGGCCGCUGUCCGCGCGCUGCGCACCGUCACGGCGCCGUGUUCGCCCGGCUAUCCGAAUCCCGACGUUCGGCCCGUUCGUCAGAUCGGAAAUGGCUAUCGUUGUACGCGGCGUAAAAUAAAUAUUAAUUUUCACACACACACACACACACACACACACACAUAUCUGUAUGUCUGUGUACGUAUACGUCCGUACGCGCGUUGACACCGCGGUACCCGGCGAUACGCCCGACGUUGUUGCGACGACGUGAACGACGUGCGUUAAACGCGCGCGCCGGAGAGCGGACCGCCGGGCAGCGCGCGUGACGCGGACAAACAACGAUAAACAACGGUGACAAUACGGUAAUUUUCGUUCUCCCGCGCGUACUCGGCAAAUCGAAACGAUAUCUCGUAAAAUACGUCGCGCGUGCACAACGGUUAGUGACGUCGGGCGCGUCAGGUAUAGCCGUCGUCGCCGUCGUCGUCGAAUAACGAUAAUUGAACGCAACGCCCCCCCCCCAUCGGUCGUCGAGUGCGCCACUGCCCCGCCACCACGAAUGAAUUAUUAUUAUUAUCGAGGAGAAUAUUUAAAUUUUUGUGUGUGUUUUUUUUUUUUUUUUUUUCAGUCGUACUUUUUAACCGCACUCAGUGUAAUUAAAAAUAUUCACGUUACGCGAGUGUUCGUUUAUUAUUAUGUAUACGGGGUUUCGCAUCGGGACGUUUUUCAACGAGGAUUUUUUUUUUUUUUUUCGCGACGUGAAUUCCGUUGUUACGGCGAGAUAUUUCGUCCGCACUGGAAAUAUGGAUCGAAUCAGUAUACAUUUUGUAACGAAAUAUUUUGUUCGUAUUGCGUUACACUCACUGGCGGGUAGGAAGGGUUUUACCGGAUAAAGUCCAAAAGUUCAGGGAAAGGUGUAACGUGCCGAGAUAAAAGCCUCCGCCUCACACGCGCCGAAGUACAGAAAUCGAUAAAAUCGAUAACAAAAUAAAUACUCGAUUUUCUCGGCAAACCGACCGAUCGUCCGCGGUAAAAGUAAAAAAAUGUCUUCAAUUACCAGUCAAAAAAAAAAAAAACUAUAUUAUCAGGUUUACUUAUCGUGCUAAACGUACUCGGAGACAUUAUUUUUACUGGUGACAUUUUUACCGGAGAUAUUUUGACAGACCUGCCCAACUACGUUUCCGGACCGGCGGUGAACGGGGAGGAAACACCCGGGCGCCGAAGAAAAGCCAAUGAACCACGGAACAUCCCCGCGGUAAAAAUUGGGUAUCGUUUACCCGACUCCGCGCGUUUUUGUUGUAGCAUCAAAUUUCCCAUUUCAGACCCCCCCCCCCUUUAAAUGUAAAUAUCAAUCAUCACAUUUCUCCGGAUAUGUACACAUAAUAUUAUGUUUAAAAAGUUCGAAACUCUGUUACUCCCCGUUAUAGUCGCCUGUUUUUCUGCGUAUACGAAACGCGACUCGUCUAUACAUUAUUUCACACACGCCUCGCUGGGUAAAAAGUCCACCAACCUUCAGCAUGACUACUCCGGAUACCCGGAUGGUCGACCAGAAUCCCGCGGGCUACACGUCCGAGAACGCGUCGACACCGAGGUUUUUGCCGAAGUAAACGUAACCCUAACGCAUCAGGUUUGGCCUGUCCGCCCGUAGUGCUUGCAUAGUUUAGUGGAUAAUUUCAUUAAAACACGCCAUGUUUUUUUUUUUUUUUUUUUAUAUAGAAAUCAUAUUUAUAUCCAUACAUCUAUGGGAUACGGCGAUAAAUGACGUGAAAUGCGUAGGUGUAAUAUAUCGUAAGUACAUACAAAAUAUAUAUACGGUAAAUAUCGUGACUUGUAACGCGAUCAUUGUGCGUCACGUCAUUAGAAUAAUAAUUUUCCGAAAUAUACCGGCGAAUCGUCGGUGUAUAAAAAUGUAUUUUCUAUGGGUAUUAUAUGCAACGACAGCACAAUAUUUCGAUAACACGACGACGUGACUGAUGCGAUACACGCGUGCCCCGUCGCGAUAUCGGAUUAUUCAGGAAUAAUAAUAAUAAUAAUAAGUACCUACCUACGUAAAACGGAGCGCGGAUGGAUUUAAAAUAUAAUAACAUGUUAAAAUACCUCGAUUAUAUACGUAUAUUAUUGUAAUACGAGUAUGGCGGUAAUACUAUAAUAAGGUGUGCGGUGCACGUACGUAUGUAUGUAUAUGUGUGUAUAUACUGCCAUCAAUCAGUGGCGCGAUUACCGGAGGAGGGGAAGUAAAAUUCCGAACAAAUAGCGCGGUCUUACGGAAAAUAAAAUCGGACACUGGCUAUGAUGGCCCUGUGCGUUGAUUAUGCACGGUCGCCUAUGAGUCACGGUUUCGGUUCAAUUUUUUUUUCUCUUUUUCCCGCGCUUUUUUCAUUCGAUCGGAAAAACACCACGAACCGAACCUUCAUUAAUAAUGGGUUACGUUCAAACGUCUAAAAUUGUAAAAACAUUUUUUUUUUUUUUUUUUUUUCAAACCGACGGUUUUUUCCGUUUUACGUCCAUAAACAAAUAACAGUAAAAUGAUUUUAUUUAAUUAAUUACAAUCGUGAUUUGUGAUGCUAUAUAGAAACCGAGGUAGACUCGUUGGAAACGGUUUUUAAUAUUUUUGAACGGAUCGGGAUGUUUAAAAUUAUCGGAUUGUACGAAAUAAAACGAAAUUUGCCCGUUCGGUAUGGCCAGGCUACACCAGCCUUCCGAUUUACUCAUAGGGUUAGCUGUCUGACCGUUUUAUACAAUAACCGUGGUUUCAACAGUGCGUUAUCAACACACUAGUGUCUUAUAUAAAUAACAAAAGUAACUUGAAUAGUUAAUGUUGUACAUCACAGACGUUUCGCCUAUUAUAUCGUUCUCUUGACAACGACAGUGUUUAUGUAUUGAAAUGCUAAAUAAUUAUUUUUUUGAAUUGUGACUCGUCGACAUUUCUUAUACCCGCGCGACUACGCGUACGUCCAAUAAAAAAAAAUUAUACGCUUUUACACGAAAAUCCGCGCUCUAUAAUAGAACAAUAACAGUAGGUAUAAACAAUAAUCGUAAACAAAUUAUUAAUGUUAUUUUUUAUUAGUGUUUAAUACAUAAACAUUAAUAAAAUUAAUAUUUUCUCGUCCUUGUAGCCAGAUAACCCGGAAGAGUAAAACUAUACGUUACAGUCCGGUUUACGUCCGGUGUUAUUAUAUCCUUAUCGUUAUUAUAAGAGGACGCUACACUCAUACGCGUUCGUUGUCCCUGCAAUACAAACGCACGAGAUGGCGAAUUUGUAUCCGGCAGUACUGAUUUCGUGCUUUUAGUUAUUUAAUAUUACAGCGAAUCGGCUUAUUAUCAAACUUAAAGUCAAGAAUAUUCAGUGGCGGGUUUACGAAGGGGAUUCUGAAACUCCUCCCCCCCUCAUAGACACCGAUAUAAUUACAAUGUACAAAUGUCGUCUGAAAAAGAAACGUCUAUUAACAGAUCCGUUUAAAAUACAAAUCGAUUUUUCAAGACCCAUCCCGGAAAAAAUAUUGAAAAUCCGCCACUGAGUACGUUAUCAACUAUAGUUUGUGUACGUUGUUUUUUCCGAUGUUUUAUUUUUUUAGCGAAAUGUAAACAUUUUUAAACCGUGAUAUUUUGCGCGUUCGUUUAAAAAUACAAACAUCGGAAAAAUCGAAUUUGCUGUGUCGUGCGUUUCAAUAAGGCGGAGACAACAAAAUAUGUGCGAGAAACGUCCGGUUCGGUAAAUAUCUUAUUAUUUUUAGUCGGAAUCGAAUAUUUUUCGUCUGUUUGCAUCAUCAGUAUCCAUGCGCUGCAAGUGGUUCGCGCAAAAUUGUAUUCGUAUUAAGCUGCGGUUUGUGUAUAAUAGCUGCAUAUUUUAUACAAAUCAGUGCGAUACAAACGUUUUAUCGUCGAAUUGAAAAUGUUUUUCCUAUUUAAAUAAUACUCGUACAGAUUAUAGGUAUUUUAAAAUUAUUCGUGGGCCGUUCGAUGACUCGAGGAGUUUCGCGAACGGACGUACCCUUAACGACCUGUACCCCGUUGCCGUUUUUUGAGAAAUUCGCCGCGUAAACAAAUAUCGCGUUGUCCCUGUUAUUAUUUCGUCCGUAUCGAUUUUUCACCGACAACGACUUUUUGCCCGUUCCGAGUUCGGACGGGCAGAUAGAUGGGCGAUCCGCAGACGGUCACACCCAAAGCUCGUUGAACAGGUAUAGACGUUUUAAAAGGCUCCGAAAAAAAAAAUUAAAAUAAUAAUAAUUAAUGAAACGUCUCGGCGGAAGUCGUAUAGUGGUUUGCUUACUUUUUUUUUUUUUUUAUUAUAAUUGUUUUUUUUUUAUCAUUUCGGGCGUAGGUAUGUAAUCCUCGGGAACUAUUUGAAACGGACGUUUCAUCAAUCAAUAAUAAUUUACACGUAAAUAAAACGUAACGAUAAUAAUAAUUGUUCAAGUCACGGAAUAAAACCCGACUGCGUAGGUAUACCUAUAUUUGCGCAUACGCUCAGUUUUCAAACGUGUCGCGAAUAUCGCCCGGACAUUCCCCCCCCCCCCCCCCCCCACUCCCGGCAUUUAAUAUAGUGAAAUAGAUUAUUGUUCAUAAUACACGCAUAUUUUUUUUUUUAUAUUUAUUAGAAAUCAUACAAUCUGUGAAAUUAUUUUUACAAUGAGCAUGUUUGAUAUUUUUAAAGAUGACAUGAGUGACUUGACUUAAAGAAGCUACCCAGCGGUAACACUUUUGGAUAUGCAUAUUAUACGAUUUUAUUACUCUCGAAAACGAAAAAUAACAUUGAAUUUAACCUUUCUCAGUCUUACUAUAGACGAUCGAGUUGGAGAUUACGUGGAUUAAGAUAUAUUUAAUAAUUUUAUAAAAUUUAAAAAAAAAAAAGAGAAAAAAAGAAAGGUUAAUCAAUAUACCGAUGCGAAUAUAAACGAGAAAUAUAUUUAACGAACUCGACUGCAACUUUACAUCAGGGGGAAAAAAAAUAAAAAAAAUAUUUGAUCGUUUACAAAAUUAAUUAAAAAAUAAUAUUCAUCGAUUUAUUUACUUAUUAUUAUUAUUAUUUUUUUUUUUAUCAUUAUUAUAAAUUCAUUUUCCUCUUUAAUUCCGCAGUGCAAUUAUGCAGGAAUAAAAACUGCGUAAUAAAAAAUGUAUUCUAACUCGUUUUUCGUUAGUUUAAAAUCUUUAGGGUGGUUCGCAGUAUUUACGAUACAGUUAUGUUAAAAUAGUAAUUUCUGUUUUGUUCAUCCCUGUCGGCCCGUGAACAUGUCGGUAAUAACUGUCGUAUAUUUUUAUUCGCGUUAUUAUAUUAUACGGUCGACGCACUUUUUAAACGUAAAACGCGCGUGGGGAGCAAUAAAGUACAUACAAUUUUAGACAAAAUAUGUUUAAUUAUACUAAAAUCGUAGAAGUGCGCCAUGUCAAAACGCACCAUUAUAUUUAAAUGAUAUUCUGUGAAACAUUCGAUUUAGCCUACGCCCACGAAUCGAGAACAUAUUUUAAUUUCGUCGUUUCGAAUGAUGUGGAUUUCGUGAGGGACGUAAUACUUCUAUGGGUAUUGGCCUAUUUCCCUUAAUGGCUAUUUAUGGCAGUUAAAAAUUAUACCAGUCGCCAUCAACUAAAUACAGUUACGUAAAUAGUGAAACUUAAUACAAGAAGAGGAAUUUUAAACUGUGCAUUGUUUAAAGCGCGGCUAACUUCACUGACUGACUCGAGCGCGAAUUAAAUAAAAUUCCGAUUAUUUGGCAAAACCACGUCGCGGGUAGCUAACAGAGAAAAAACGAAAUUUUCAUUAGUCGAAACUAUUGUAUUAUAUAAAAAUACUUAUAAUUUUCGAUAGUAUAUUGGUAUAAAUUUGACUUUCCCACCAUUUCUGUGAAAAUAGAUUCACUUAAUUUUUAGUUUAUCGUUACUACCCUUGGGAAGAGCUAGAGCUCUAGUGAAAUUGACGUUUGUUUUAUUGGAAGUUUGGUCUCAAUUAAAUAUUAAUUUCUUUUAGAUUUUAAAUAGAAUGAGGAAUGUAUUGGUUUUAAAUUUUUUAUUUUUUUAUUUUUUUUAUGUGAACACUUUUUCCAGAAACCAGAAAGCGUACUCCGAUUAUCAAGUAUAGCGCUUUUUCUGAAAGAAAAUGUUCUCUGGGUGAUACUUUAAAGAUAGGUCAAUUUUUUGAAAUUUUCAUUAAUAUUCGAGAUAAUGAAGAAAACUUGGUUCUUAAUGUAAAAAAAGAUUAAAAAAAAGUUCGCGCAAUGGCAACCGUUUUUAUUUAUUUAUUGUUAUUAUUGAGUUUUUAUUAUUUUAAUAGUUUUCAAACCAUAAUUUUUGUCAUGGAAAUGCACAUUGUUGUAAUCAUUUUACCAUAGUAUGACAUAUAUAUUGUUGACAAAGUAAUACUGUUAAUUGAAUUCCGCUCAGGAUCGUUUUUUCGUUGCUUACAGAUAUACAUUAAAUUCCCGUCUGUAUCCUACCUUCCCAACUUCCCGCAUACAAAAGUCGCUGCACCCAAGUGCUAAGUAUGUCCGUUCUUUUUUUUUCAACAAACUACAAUAUCCACUACGUGGUGCGGUCAAUUUUUGUUCACCUUCCCUGGUAUUAUACCACCACCAUAAUCGUAGUCAUCUAUAUUAUCAAACGUCUAGAGGGCAACUGGUAAAUUUUACUCUGGGUAGUAAUGGGGGAGGGGAAUCGGUAUAAAAAAAAAAAAAACGGACUUUUAGGUCGACCGGUACACGCCCCCCACUGACCGUUUACCGAACAUUGAAUAUACAUUCCGGUAUAAUAUGACGGGGUGGUCAGAAACGCGAAAAAUCCUAUUGACCCGGUAUCGCCGCGUACGGGGAGGGGUGAGGGGGGAGGGGAAAGAAGAAAUUUCCGUAAAAACGACGAUUUAGAGGGACCGGUUUUCCAAUGCAUUAUUUAGACGUACUGUAUUAUUUACGACGUACUCGAAUCGCUACGUUAACAUAUGAUAUUACACCCUGUCCGUUUGGAGGGGUGUCGAUAAGGCCUCGGAUCGCUUUAUGGCCGCCGGACCGGGUCGACUGUACCGGCUACACGCACGUAAUACCGUGUAUUAUUUAACAAUUCCAGAAGAUACAAUUUACUCGCGUUAAUAAUAAAUAGAAGACGUCUAGAUGGACAAAAUGCGUUCAGGAACGCAUUUUGUAACAUGUGUUAUAUAUAUAUAUAUAUAUAUGAAAUAAUUAAUAAUAACAAAACAUAUUAUAUUGUAUACGACGGCGCAGCGGUUUCAUAAUGAACCGCGUUUGAGCUCGUAUAAAAUAUGCCUACAACGAAAUACACGUGCGCCGCGUUAUAUUAAAACGCAUUUCUUACUUCUGAAGCGAAAUUACUUAGCGAAGUUUCCGCGGCGCGCGUGUGUACGCCCGGCGUGCGUACACGUAUAUUGCAGACAAAUGGGAUACUUCUAAAUAGUAUAAUAAUAUACGCAAUGCGGUUUGUGGCUCGACAAAUGUUUGCAUUAUAAACACAAAUAACAGCUUUAAUAUUUAACAGAGUGGUGUAACAAUAUACGUUUAUUGCAAAAAAAAAAAAAUAAACCGAAAAAAGGUUUAUUAUCAUAUCGAAUGUAGGUCGAAAUAAAAAAAAAAAAAAAAAAAAAAAAUAAAGAGAGUAGGAGUUUAGGCAACAGUUGUGCGCUUGCAACGGUGACAAUAAUUCCGUUCACACACCGGCACACGUAAUACGCGUUUGAAAUGCGUUCGUGUGAUGCACUGCAGAACCGAACUCGCCAUACAUAAAUGAAUUAUUGUUUAGCUAGCGCCGUGUCGGGGAAACGUUGAAUUUUUACCGUCGCAAUUCCCGAAAUGUAGCCUUCUAUUGUGCAAUAAUAAUCGUUGUCGUCUAACUUUAAUUUUUAAUUAAGUAAAAAAAAAGAAAAAAAAAGAAAAACGCGCAGACUUAUUUCUGCAACGCUGUUUAUUGUCGGGUUUUUAAGGAGUCUAUACAAUAAUUGCUUAAAACAAAUAAAAUCGCGAUGGUAAAUUAUAUUACAUUAUUACUGUAUACAGUUUCCUUUCAAACGAUGCAAUUUAAAUACCGUCCUUUCUCUUUCGGUUAAGCGUCUUUAACAUAAUUUUGAGAAUAAUGAUAUUUCCAGAAGUAUAUUAUUAUUAUGAAUGACGUUUUUGCAAAAACGUUUUGACAUUGUGAAACCGACGGUAAAUAUUACGAAGGGACAGACCAUCGAAAUUUCCUUAAUUUUUUUAUUUAUUUUUCUGUCCCUGGUGAUUUCUGUCAUUUCGUCCCGACUAAAUUUGUUUAACGGUGUAAUAGAUUUUACGUGUGCGUUUCUCUUUAAAUUCUAAGCUUCGGCUCCAAUUUUCUAACAUUUGUGAACGCAAACACGACUUUUCCCUUAGGAUGUCACUAAUAAUUUAUCCAUCUAAUGGAUGCACUAACCAAAACCAUUUUUUUUUUUUUUCAUGCUACCCGUUCUUUGACUGUAUUAAUAAAAUGAAAUAACAUUUAUUAUGGAAAGAGCUUUAAAGUUUUAUUUUUUUUAUCCGUUUCAAAAAUAAUAUAAUGUUCACUACCUAUAUACUACCGUUAAUUUUUAUUCAGUGAAACGACUAUAAAAUACAUUCUUCGCUACGCUCAGAAUCUAAAAUAGAAUAAAUAAGCUAUUUAUACAUAAUAUCUAAUCUAUCAGUACCUUCGUAUAAUAUAUUAUAAUUAAUAUUCAUAUUAAAGUUGAACGAAGAUAGGUUUUAUUUAAAUCGAGUUGAGCCGAGUCAAACAUUAAUUUUUACGAGACGAAUCAAAUUUAAAAGUCUAGCGUCAUCGAACAUUUUCGAGUAAUAUUUGAAAUUAUUGCGCGGCUACUCGAAUAUCGCAGUCGCUAUAGUAGGACAGAAAGUAUGCAGGCGGUUUCCACGUUGUCGUUACCAAUCGGAAAUGGGAAAUGGGAAAAACAAUGUAGACAAAUGUAGACAAUGUAGAUAAUGAAAUAUCGUUAUCACAAUAUGAAACCAAAACAAUAACAGCCUGUUUUUGUAAAUUCAAACCACCGCCGACAUAAUAUGAGGCGCCUAGAACACGAGGGGUAUAAUUAGCAUUUUUGAAAAAAAAUCCGAGCUAAGUGCACAGCUGAACGGUAAAUUUUCCGUUUAAUAUCUUCCGGUAAACAAUUAGUAUAAGUGUUUGUCAUGUGCUGCGGUCUAUAGUAUCACACAAUACUAAAAUAGUCUUCAAAUGAAAAUGCCAUAAUAGAUCGAAAGCAAAUAAGUACGACCGUCCACAACAGCUACUAUUAACACACUUAUAACGCCUCUUUACCGUCAAGUGUCUUGAAACAUUAACAUUACAUCAAAUACAAAUGCAUUUAAACUUGAUUUUCUCGAAAUCAAUAAAAGUUCCCGAGGAAUGCCGAGCAAUUUAAUACGCGUAAAUUCAUGAAAACAUCAAAAAAAUUGCCGAGCCGAGGAGACCACUUACUCGAAUUCGAAUCCGGCGUUUUUUUUUUUUUUUGUUCCAAAAUCGAGUGGGUACUCACUCGAGCAGGUCCAAUAAUAGUAUUGUUCUACGACGUUAUUUUCGCGACCAGCAGCAAAUACUGUCCGAAAACCGUAAAUGACACUGUAGUAUGUCUGGCGUUAUAAUUGUUUGCGGAAUAUUUCGCCACCGCUCCCGUCGUUUUGUCGCCGUGUUAAUAAUAUUGCAUUAUUUUAAUUAAUUGGACGAGCGUCGCGAUAAUAGAUCACGGUCGGCGUUAUCGUCGCGCGUCGGGGGCGAAACGGAACCGGGGACGAAGUGUGCGCAACAUUCGAGCGGCCGCCGCGAUUUCGUUCCGCGAUUAUUUAUUGAGUUUUAAUUAAUAAUAAUCAUAAAGAAAAUUUACGAGUUUUGUAACAAACGGUAUAAUUAAUUUCGGAACAACAAUGCGCGAUGCGCCGGGGCGCAGUACAUCCUGAAAAUGGAAAAUAAAAUAAUAUCCGAAGAAACAAAGUAAAAAAUAAUAAAAAAAAAAAAGGUGGGCGAACGAAACAAAAAGUAUCUAACUGUAUAGUAAUUGUCGGACAAACAGUUUGGUACGGUACGAAAAAAAAAAACAAAAAUAAAAAUGUUAAGAUAAUAAAUUUUCCAUUUUUUUUUUUUUUUUUUUUUAACGACCAUAAUAUAUUUUCAUUAGAUUGUAUUAACUUCAAUUGCCGUAAAAUAUUAUUGUAGGUAUGUGCAGGUAUGCCAUUGACGUUAGUAGAAUAUCAACUCAAAUAAUAUAUUAUUACACUAAGUUGCGCUAUAACUGUGCUAUAGUGUAACGAUAAACGCAUCUAAGAAUUAUAUAUAGUGAAGGGGGAGGGGGGAGGGUUAAAUUAAAAAACGAGACUCGAUAAUCGGGUGGUUACAGGAAGUAUGAAUCGUAGAACGCCGAGGUGAUUCUGAAAUCAACAAAAUCAAAAUCGACGUGUCUUUAUUUUUCACGACCUUUUUUUAAUUUUGCAAAAAAACCGUCGGUAAUCUGGAAUAAUGUUGUAAAUUUAAAUACUGUCGCACAGUGGUCAAAUUUCGGUUUUCAGCUGGACAAUGCCAUUUUUAUGAAAAAAAAAGUUGAGUUCUGCUCUUAGAUGUGCAACUUAUGGUCUAAUUCGUUCGAAAGUUUUCAAAACAAUCGAUAGAUAAAAAUAUUUAUUAAAUCAAUUGUCACUCAAUUGUUUUCAGAUUCUGAUUGGAGCGAAGAAGCUUAUGGUUUUACAAAGAUGUUUAUUUUUUUUUGUUUCCUGUAGACAACUUUUCUACCAAAAAUUUUACUAGGGAGGUAUUUUAAAGUGGCCAUUUUUCGAUUUUCUCAGGAGUUUUCCCAAAAAAGGGGAAAAACCGGGAUAAAACAUGGGAAAACCGGAAAAACGUAGGACAACUGGGAAAAUCGGUACAACACCAAACGAAUACUAUUAAAGAAUAAAACGACGUGUAUAUUGUUGUCAAAGCAUCACUAUCAACUGAACUCCGCUCAGAAUCGUUUUUUCGUAAGCGUCGGUUUAUCGUUGCUCGCAGGUAUACAUUAAAUUAUCUAUAACCGCGGCUGCACCCGUCCCCAUUAUCCUAGGACGUAUUUUUAAGUAAUCGAACGACAAUCAAGUAUAAUCAAAACAACCCGUCGCCAAUCUCGGUGUUCUAGAUACGCCCGACCUGGCGUCGUAACCUCACCGCGUACCGGUCGUCCGCAAGAGAGCGCGGCGCGGCAAACAUUAAUUCGUUCGCGAAGUUUAAUUUAAAUUAAUUUUGUUUUUUUUUUUUUGUUUUUAAUUUACAUUUAUCGGACAGCGGCGGUCACGACACAAUCGCCGCCGUCGCCGUCACGGCGCCCCGGGUUUCUAGCCGCGGUUUAAUAAUAAUUUUGUCGGCGCACACAUCUCGUUUAUAAUAUUAUUACAACGCCUACACUGCACACCACGGCCAGAACGAAACGCGUUCAAUUUGUGUGUGCGCCUCUAAACCGACCGUGUAUACCACGGGCAGUGCGUGUAGGUAGGAAUAAUAAUAUAUAUUAUAAAUAUAAGCUUUCCGGGCACGUAUAGCGUCCGUGCGGCGGAAACGCACCCUAAACGCUUUCUUAGCCGCCCCGUAAUAAUUUUGUGAUUAUUUUUAUUAUUAUUUUUUUCUCCCGCCCCCCCCCCAUCCUUUUCCACGUCGCCGUCGUUGUUUAUUGUGUAAUAGUUGUGCCGUACAAUAUAAGUGUAAGGCGUGUGGAUUUUAAUUCGGCGGGGAAUCCGGUGCGAUAGCGGGUGCGAGGAGGGGGGGGAGGGGUGGGAUUGUUAGGGAGAACCUGACCUCCGGGCGGGGGUAUGAUAUUAUUGUCUUAUCCGGCGGUGGCGUAUAACCGCGGUGGUUAACGGCGGUGGCGUUACAUCAUAUUAUUUGUCUUUGUUAACGCGGUUACGUGUCGAAAGCUUUCAUCAAAAUUGACGUCUAUAUAAUAAUAAUAAUAAUAAUAAUAAUAAUAAUAAUGAUAAUAAUAAUAAUGAUAAUAAUGAUAUAUUUUAUAGGUUAGAAGAUACGUGUGCGCGUAAUAAGUGUAAAAGGUGUACAUUAUUUGAGACGGCGGCGAACAGAUCCCCUCGCUUUGUGCGAUAAUAUCGUAAUAUAAUCACUAUUACAGUAUACCGUCUAUAAGCAAAGGCAUAAUACAUAUAUUUUAAGGGGAGGUACGGCGGUUUCUUUUACGUAUACUAUUUGGAAAUUAAACUUUUCUUACGCCGGUCGAUAUUAUUAUUCUAUCGAAAUGCCGCGCGUGCACAACGUACAGUCGAAUACCGUUUUUAUAGGUUUCACACCGGCCAUGGGUUUAUACGACCUAUUCGUCGGGACUUUUGUAAACCCGCAAAUACAUACCAUGCCUAGUUAUAUACUCGUAUACAGAUACGCAGUUGAAGAGCGGCGAGGCUAAGGAGAAUAUAGCCCCCCCGUGGGCCCUGUUUAUGUAUGUAGGUAUACUAUUUUACGAUUUGAGCGUUAACUAUAUACACACUUCUAGUUAUUUCUCUCACUCUUGAAAGAACGUUAUCUUCACUGAACCGUAUGAAAACGCAGUUAUAUACGUCCACAAUGUCAGAAUAUAAACUAUCGAUGCGCUAACCGUGGCUAAUAUAGUUAAAAAAAAACAAAGACAUUCAUAUUUUUUUUUGUUUUAUAUAUAUAUAUAUAUAUAUAUAUAUAUAUAUAUAUAUACACGUGUACGCUAUUGUUUCGAGUAUUACAUUGAUAUGUAAAAUCGUUUCGAAUUUUCAUUUGAGGGUUUGUGGGGUUAACCCCCAAACCUCCUCAUCUAAGGCCAUGAUUUAAACAAAACCGUAUUUGGUCCGGCUCCUUUGAUUCAAAGCCCUGGCCUACGCCACUGACCUUGUGUAUACUAAAACGCCGGAUUUUCAUUUUGAAUAAGUACACCGAAAGUAUUGUAUUAUAUUAUAUUAACAAUAGACACAACAGCGGACGAUCGAUUUUGCCGAUUACAGUCUUGUAAAGAAUGUAUGCCUAUAAAUUCUCACUGAAAUGAUUGCAACGGUCCGGAUGCAUCUAAACUAGUGUUUCUCCGUUUCUUUAACGUUACCGCUCCCCUUAAAAUCGAAAUGAGUUUAUAACCCCGCAGUACCUCUCCACUUCCUCUACCCCCCACUUCACGCGUGCGCGCGUACAUAAAAUGAAGUUUCGUUACGUUUUCACAGACAGAAUUGUAAAUGUAAUGUGUAAUCGCUUGUUAUGAGUAAGUGCCGUGUAAAACGGAUUGUCCGGGUGUCGUUCCUGUGGGACUGUGACGGGUCUCUAUAAUUUUAGCACCCGCGACGUCUUCGCGCCGAUUUACCAUCGUGCGUGCUGGCGUAUUGGUACGUAACACUGUAUAGCACCGCAACGUGUCGUCGUCGCGAUUCACGUAUCGGAAACGAACCGCGGUUUCCGUUUGAAACGGAACGCGUCCGAACGGGGUUUCGUAUAGCGGCGGCGACGACGGAGCGGUCGUCUCGAAGGACAUCGCGGCCCUUCGUCGCGCGCGCGCGCGUUCUCCCUCUCAGCGUGUCGCCGGGGCCCGGUAUCCUGUCGCCGGCGGGGGUCGGCGCGGACAUCAAACGCCGCCGGACCGAGUCGAUACGCUCGCGCACACGCGACAAUAAAACAACAACAAUGAUAAUGAUAAUAACGAUAACGGUAACGGUACGUAAUAUUCGACCCUCCCGCGGUGUAUAUUAUAAUACCGCGCGCGCGCGUACACGCACGUUACGCUAUUCACGGGAACGCUCGCAGUGGCGGCGCGUAGUGCAGGCGCGUAUCAUUGCUGCACACACAGCGCGGCGCCUUUGAACUCCGACGCGCGGAUUUCCUCGGAUAUCCAGUAGCCGGCGACAAUAUUAACCGUCCUCCGGCCGCAAACCCCGCGGUGUUCCCCCGACGAUGCGCGAGUACGAGAUGCCGAUAUUAUUGUUGUGAGUUGUUAUGGCCGUCGUCACCACGAGUAAAUAUUACAAUAACAUUUGCACGCGGGUAGUAUUUUAUUUUUUGUUCAUUUUAAAUGUUAAAUAUCUAUUUAAAUAGACGGAUAAACGCCGAACAGGCUUUAGUAAAGGGUUGAAUACACGUUCAACAACAGAUGACGUACGUCCUGUACCAUUAAAUUACAAUGAUAUUUGUUAAAAUACAAUUAAAAAUCUUCGAUGCUUAAGAACUUGGAAAACCGUUAACUCAUAAAAAUACGGCGGAUACUUGCAAAUGAAUGAAAUCGAUUAAUUGGGAUUAAUUUCCCAUCCUGAAAAUUCUCUCUGAGAGAUUACUUUACCCAUAAUUUGUACGGUGGAUUUCGACAAAGAAUACAGAACAACUGCGUGCGUAAUAUUGAGGAACAUUGAAGGAAAUACGUUCUAAGAGAAAGGAACACGUAAUUUUACCAUUAAUGCGCCGAAUCUGUAGACCGGCGUUUCUCGACCGUUUUUCAUUCACGUACACGCCUUGACUUCUCACCACUGUUUUACGGACCCCCGAACAACCCCCUAGCAACGCUAUACGCCAUCAGAUUAAAUAAAAUCUAGCGUACACUUGCUGCCGCCUACGAUGAUAUACUAUACUUCUUAUUAUACGUAUACCUAUGAUACACUUAUAUUGUAUAUUGUUAUGAAAAACCGUUUUACAGUAUUUACAAUAUUUCACGAAUAACGAAAAGUAAUUUCAAUCAAAUGCAACAAAUUUCACUUUUUCCGCCAUUAUGCAAUUGUUUUCCCCGCGAACCCCCUAUUACCUUCUCGCGUACCCCCGGUUGAGAAACGCUGCUAUAGAUGAACCCGAUCGAACGCUCGACAAACGGUAAACGGGGUUAAUACAUAGAUAAUAAACAGAGUAGCCGGCUGGCGUGUUAGCGGCCAAUAACCGUCCAAAAACAAUUCCCAAACAAAACUCGUAAUUCGUAUAAGCUUCUAAAUGUCGAAAUCGGACAUACAGAGCAGAGCAAAAGUAAUUAAUAAUAUAUCAAUGGUACGAUUCGCGAAAAUGUAUUUCAAUGAAAACGGAAAAGUCGUGUCUAGAAUUAAUAGCGCCCGUAUAGUCAAUGAUAAUAACCAGCCAAUAGAAAACGUGAAUAGAGUUGGCCACUCUCUUUAUUAUCUAGGCUUUCCUGUAGAAAUCUAUUAAAGCAAAGCAUUAGAGCAAUAACUAAUGAACGCAAUAUUAAUGCCUAUAAACUUUAUUACAACUCACAUAAAUAACUUCGAGCACGAGAUAACGUCAUUAUAAUAAUUUCUUGCGUUUAAAUUUUCAAUCUCUCGUGAAAAACAAAAUUAAAAUGAUGUUUAUGUUCAGCGUUGGGCUAUUGCACAGCUGCCGUAAAUAAUAUCAAAAUAUAAACAAAUGAUUUAAACAUUAUAAACCGGUUGUAUAUGCAUUAUGUAGACAUAAUAGUAGUGGUGCCGAAUUAACACCUUGUUCAUUUAAUGACGAAGACGCGUAUUGCUCGUGCGUAUUUCAACCGGAAAUGAUAUAUCCCGAAUGCUCUACAGACUGUUACGGGGAUACUAUAAACUACAGAUGUAACCAUCGUUCCCGGUAAAUUUUAUAAUAUUGAGCAAGGGUAGCCAACGUUCAUAGACUUGCGAUUUAAAUAAUAACGGUUUAAUUUACGCAACGGACAUUUUGAUAAUAUGGUGGACCGGUUCGAUUUAUCGAUUUAUGCGAACGCGAUAAGAGUCAUGCAUGGGUGUCAAUACGGGAUAUCCAUAGGAUCACGUACAAUGCGCAUACAGCCACUCGUUCUCACUUUUCCGGUAUACAAUUUCAUUUGUGCCCGAAACACACACUUUUGUGCCGUCUUCGCGCCUCUCGAGUUAUCACGUGCAAAGCUAUCGAAACGCCACGCUCCUCUCGCCAAUCUGUAGUAAUAGACUGUAAUUUACUGGUUUCGUGGUAUAUGUAUACAAUUGAAGUUGACUGUUCGCAAACAUAAGGUUUAUUCAUUCAUAUACCUAUUAAAAAUGUUGAAUUGUACUUCGUGCAAUGAAAUAAAAAAACGCUAAUACUGUAAAUAUAAAUGAAAAAGUUCUCUGAUUUCGGCAAGCAAUUCUACAGUAAAUAUAUUAUAUUAUACUAUAGAUAUAUAGUAAAAUUAGUAAAAAAAAAAAAAUAAUAAUAUUAAAAUAAUAGUAUUAAAUCGUAAAUAAAAAAGGACGGGCAUAUUUCGCACGUGAGUGCAGCCACUGUCUGUUGUACGUGGGAAGUUUGGAAGGUAAGAUAUAGACGGGAAUUUAAUGUGUAUCUUUAAGCAAUGGUAAACCGUUGCUAAGGAAAAAACGAUUCUGAGCGGAGUUCAAUUGAUAGUGUUGCUUUGUCAACAAUAUAUAUGUCAUAAUACGGUAAAAUAAAAACAAAAAUGUGCGUUUCCAUGACAAAAAUGGUUGUUUAAAAAAGAUUAAAACAAUAAAAACUUAAUAAUAGCAAAAAAUAAAUAAAAACGAUAUAUAUAUGUGAUAUUAUGGUAAAAUAACUACAUAUGCAUUAUAUAUUUUCUUUAAUAAUAUUUGUUUAAUAUUGUAUCUAGUUUCCAGUUUUUCCUUCGUUUUUUUUUUCCCCAUUUAUUUGGAAAUCUCCUAGAAAAAUCAAAAAAUUACCUCCCCAGUCAGAUGACCCUUUCAGAAAAAGUGCUAUCAUUGUAAAUCGGAGCAAAGUUGCUGGUAGAAAAGUUGUCUACAGAAAUAAAAAAAAUAAACGUCAUUGUAAAACCAAUAUAUUUCUCGCUGCACUCAAAAUCUAAAACACACAAAUACGUUCACAAGACGCACGAACUAAUUCGGUAGGCAUUACUUCUCGGGAUGUUGCCAAUAGACAACUUCCCCUUCCCGUCAUUCAAACCACAUUCAAUUUACUUAUUGCGUAACAUGUAAAGACAGAUUGUAAAUACAUUUUUGUCUCAAUAAAUAAUAAAUAAAAAACAAGAUAUUACUUCUAGUUUAUUGUGCGUCUGAAGCAGCUGCUUCAAUGAUAAAAUCGCGUCGCUGGUGUUGAAAUAUUAUACAAAACAAGUCUUUGAACACUCCACGCGUACAUUAAUAUUGAUUAGGGCGCAUUAUUAUUAUUAUUGUACUAACACGGUUUUAAUAUAGGUAGUUUAUUAUAACGAUUUGUGUACCAUAAACGGUUCGGCUUUGUACAUGGGCGAUUAAUGUCAUUAAUCAAAAGCAAUAUGGGUUUACAUUUAGUGAUACAUCAUGUAUUUAUUGUUUUAUUUUCGCCAAUUUUCGUUGAGAUAUUUUUAAACAUUAUAUUGACUACUUUUGCUGAAGAAGCCGGAAUGUCCAAAGAACCUUUGGCUGUCACGCAAUGAUCUGAAUUGUAAAUUAGUUGGCAAAACAUAUUUUUAAAACUGCGAUAAAUGUAAUAUUUCAUAUCAAAUAUAUCCGUGAUAGAUACGUAACGAAUCAAUAUUUCAUAAUACGGCACCCUUUUACGUCUUUUUAUCCAAUAAAACAACGAUUAGUUCAGAGAAAUGUUGACAAAUGGCUUAUAGCGUGCAUUAUUCUGUCUUUCACGUUAAAUCAUUUGAGUACAGUGUACAUCGUUUUUAUUUCGUUUUUGAAUAUUUGAUUAUAGAAAUGGUCGUAGUUGGUAAAUAUAAAUAAACAAUAUUAUUUUUAUGUUUUUAGUAUAAUUUAUACAGUUCGUUAUUAUUUUUUUGUUUUAUUCGUUAUUUGAUAUUUUUAGAAUUUAAAAUGAUAUUUAUAAAAAAUGUCAAAUUAUGCCAUUCCAAAAAUACAUCCAUGCUAUUGUAUUUACUCUUAGGUGUAUAACGUAUUACAUGUAUUUUAUUUGCGUAAACUGGUAUAACCGUUUUAACAGUAGGUACAAAAACAUCCAUUUCAAUAAUAAUAUAAUACAAUGACUUCUAUUAAUAUCAUUUUAGCGUGUGGGAGUGGUGGUUUUCAAAUUAAUUUCAUAUACCGCGAGUUAUUGAAUUUAUUUCAGGCAAAUAUUUAUUUUUUAAUACGUUAAAUUAAACAAUUAAACUUACCUUAAUAUUUUUUUUUUUUUUUUAGAACAAUUAGCUGAGAAAAUUUAAGAAUGUAUGGGAACAAAGACUACAGAAUGUACCAACAAUAUCAAAUACGAAAAAAUAUACAAGAAUAAAUACGAAUGAAGACCUUUUACAUAUACAUUAUUAACAUCUUCGGGUCCGAUAAUAUCGACCUUGAGACCGCUUCCAAAAAAAAUAUCACACGAAUUAUCAAACACAGCAAAGUAAUAUUAUUUACUAUUGUAAUAUAAACGAGGCAAAUGAUAGUAAUAGUAGUAAUAACAAUAUGGACGAUUAAAGUAGUUUUUUUUUUUUUUAAUGUGUAGUUUAGUAGUUAUAAUUAAUAAAC